ACAGCCACAGUAACAUGGGAUCUGAGCCCCAUCUUCGACCUACACCACAGCUUGUGGCAACGCCAGAUCCCUGACCCACUGAGCGAGGCUGGGGAUGGAACCCACAUCCUCAUGGAUACUAUUUGGAUUUGUUUCUGCUACACCAAGACAGGAACUCCCAGGAACUGUCAUCUUCAAGGGGAGUGUAAUCCGAUUUGAGGCCCUAAUCCUCCCUAAUCCUCUUGGGGCACUUCCUCUCUGGCCUCUGCCCUCCCAGCCAUCUGUGCUGCACCCCAGCCACGGCCUCCAGGUACCUCCUCAGCCCCCAGCUCCUCUCUGGCUGUGGCAUGGGCAACCUAGCUUCUCUGCCUCUGCCCUCACAAUGUCCCUCUUCCACUUGUCAAACUGAGUCCUGGGGGCACCCUCGGCAGUGGGCACCCCAGGCUGGCUUGUGGGAUAAGUGCCUGGGCAGGGCCGAGGGGCAGGAAGGACAGGAGGAAGGCUUGGGCUCCUCAUGCUCUUAGUCAGCCAUCCACUCCCCUGCUCAGCCUGAGCCAAGAUCCCUCCUCUUCUUCUCUGUCCACAGUGUCUGUCCCUUCUCUCCACACCUGAUGCUGGAUCCCGCCUCCACUUUCCCUGCCACCCCCAGUCCAGUUACCGUCUCCUGGUCUCCCCAAAGCCAUGAGCCUUUCUCCACCCACAGCUGCAGGGCUAUUCUGGUGCCAAUUAGAUAGCUUACUCCCCUUAAUCAAGACCCUCUCAGGAUGCCCAUUGUCCUUUUAAUCAAAUCAGACCCACUCAGGCAGAGCAGACCCAACAGGAGCUCCUGCCAGCUUGUUACACCUCGGAGCUUUGUCACCCCCUGCCCCCCCGUUUACUGGCUUGGACAGCUCUUCCCUGCCCCCUCCCUGGAGAGCCCCUUCUUUUUUUUUUUUAAUUUUUAGGGUUGCACCUGCGGCACACGGAAGUUCCCCCAGCUAGGGGUCAAAUAGGAGCUGCUGGCCUAUGCCACAGCCACAGCAUUGUGGGAUCCGAACUGCAUCUGUGACCUACGCCACAGCUCAUAGCAAUGCUGGAUCCUUAAAUUUCUUUUCUUUUCUUUUCUUUUCUUUUUUUUUUUUUUUUUUUUGCAGCUUUGGUUCUCACUUAAGAUCCAGUAAAUUUAUUUAUUUAUUUAUUUAUUUUGUUUGUUUGUUUGUUUUUUGUCUUUUUGCCAUUUCUUGGGCCGCUCCCAAGGCAUAUGGGAGGCUAGGGGUCAAAUUGGACCUGUAACCGCCAGCCUAUGCCAGAGCCACAGCAACUCGGGAUCCAAGCCGUGUCUGUGAACUACACCACAGCUCACGGCAACGCCGGAUCGUUAACCCACUGAGCAAGGGCAGGGAUCGAACCCGCAACCUCAUGGUUCCUAGUCAGGUUCAUUAACCACUGCGCCACGACAGGAACUCCCUGGAUCCUUAAAUUUCUAAUCCACAACAGGACCUCCUGGCCAGCCCCUUCUCAUUCCUCAAGUUCAGGCUCCAAGACCACUGCUCCCAGAGGCUGCCCCUGUUCUAUCUCAUUCCGCUUUGUGCCAUCAGCUCUUAUAUGACAUUAUUUCAUUUUUUUCUUCCAGUUCUCUAGAGAUACAGCUGACUUACUGCACUAUGCAGGCCUAAGGUGCACAGCAUCAGGAUUUGACUUCCAUACAUCAUGAGAUGAUGACCCCAGUAAGCUUCGUGGACAUCCAUCCUCUCGUAUAGAUACAAACUUAAAGAAAUAGGAAAAAUAUUUUCCUUGUGAUGAGAACUCAGGUUUUACUCUCUUAAGAGUUUUUAGGAGUUCCCUUGUGGCACAUCAGGCUAAGGAUCUGGUGUUGUCACUGCUGUGGUGUGGGUUGCUGCUGUGGCAUGGGUUUGGUCCCUGGCCUAGGAACUUCUACAUGCCAUGGGGGAAAAAACCCCACAACUUUUAUAUAUAACAUGUAGCAAUGUUAAUUACAUUUAUCAGGUUUUACGUUACAUUAUAUAUACAUACAUAGCCGCACGGAAGGGGCAUAUGGAGGUUCCCAGGCUAGGAGUUGUAGCCGUUGACCCACGUCACAGCCACAGCAACUCGGGAUCCAAGCCAUGUCUGUGACCUACACCACAGCUCGUGGAAAUGCUGGAUCCCCGACUCACUGAGGGAGGCCAGGGAUCGAACCUGCAUCCUCAUGGGUACUAGUCAGAUUCGUUUCUGCUGCGCCACAAUGGAAACACUUAAUCAUCUUUUUUUUUCCUUUCCUUUUCUUUUUUAGCUGCUCCAUGGCAUGUGGACUUCCCAGGCCAGGCGUCAGAUCCGAGGCAACUCUGGAUCCUUAACCCACUGUGCUGGGCCAGGGAUGGAACCUGAGUCCCAGUGCCCCAGAGAUGCCGCUGACCCCAUUGCACCACAGUGGGAACUCCAGUACUUAUUUAUCAUAUAACUGGAAGUUUGUCAUUUUUGACCAUUCAAUUCCGCAACCCCCCCCAACAACUUCCCACUUCUGGUAACCACAGAUUUGAUCUCUUUUUCUAUGUUUGUGUGUUUGUUUUGGAGUAUAACUGACCUGUAACACUAUGUUUGUUCCUGUUACACAACAUAGUGAUUCCAUAUUUCUGUGCGUUUCUGAAUGACCACCGUGAUAAGACCAGUUGUGAUUUGUCACCCUACCAAGGUGUUACAUAAUUAUUGACCCUGUUUCCCACACCGUACAGUUCAUCCCCGUGACUCAUUUAUUUUGCAACUGGACAUUUGUACCUCUUAACCUCCCACACCUCUUUCUCUCCUCCCCCCACCCCCUCCCCACUGUCUCAUUUUUAAUUUACUUGUCUAGAUUUUGUCUUCCCACUGGAAGGUCAGUCGCAGGAGGGCACAAACUUACCUGUCCUGUUUGUGGUACAGCCCCCGCCCCAGAACAGAGCCUGGUUCUGGGCUCUGUAAACACCAGGUGAGGUUAUGAGCGCUGGGACCGGAGGGAAGCUGGCCACGUGCAGCAGCCCUGGAGCUGUGCUGGCGGAGCUUGCCCUUGAACCCUGGACAUCUACCUCCCCACACAAGCUACAAGGGGGCUCUUCCACUCUCAGGCUGGCGUGUUUACUCUCUGGAACUGACCUCUCCUCUGGGGAGCUGAGGGCACCUCUUCUGUCCUGUGUGGGGCAAGGCGGGAGUGAGGGGCCCAGCAGGAUCCUGACCUUGACCUCUGUCCAAAGUUGUGUAUUUUCAACUUCCUCUGUAAUCAGCUUCCUGUUUGAGGGCGAGCUGAGGGCACAGAAACGAGUCACCACAUCUCCAGAGAUGCAUCAUCAGGCUCCUGCUGUGAGCUGGGCUCUGUGUUUUCCCAAGGAAAUGGCACUGCCAAGUCUGCCCCAAAGACUGAGAGGUCCCGUGAGAGUGGGGCCUGUGGGGCCAGAACCCAGUAGAGAGAUAGAAGGGCUUUGGAUGAGGGUGGGAGGCAGAUGGGAAGAAGCUGGGCAGGGCAUUGGGGCCUGGAUUCCAGAGGCAGGAGGGACACAAAAUUGUGACUUCAAACUCUGGCUCCACCAUCUACCAACUGUGACAGUUUGGGCAAGUGAGCCUCUCGGGCCUUGGUUUCCCCAUUUUUCUUUGGGAUACCAAGCAGUCCCACCUCUGAGGGCUCUUCAAGGUUUAUUCAUUUAUUUUGUCUUUUUAAGGGCCACACUUGUGGCAUAUGGAGGUUCCCAGGCUAGAGGUCAAAUUGGAGCUACAGCUGCCAGCCUACACCACAGCCAUAGCAAAGCUUGAUCCUUAACCAGCUGAGGGAGGCCAGGAUCAAAACUGCCUCCUCAUCAACACUAGUCGGGUUCGUUACCGCUGACCCACGACAGGAACUCUUUGCAGCUUAACUGCAAUGGUUCCUGGAAAAGUCUGAGAACAGGGCCAGGCCCAGGGCAAGCUGAUCAGGGUUAGUUGUGUGGUUGUCAUUAUGAAGAGAGCUGGGACCUGGCAGGAGUUGAGAGCCGGCAGGGGUGGAUGCAGACACAAGGGGAGCUAGAGGCAGGGCAGUCUAGUGGUUGAAGCCCAAAUUCCAACCCUAGGGCUCCCACUGACAGGCUGUGUGGCCUUGGUUCAGCCACCUAACCCCCUUGCCCCUCAGUUUCCCUGCAAAUGAGGGUAAUGAUACCACCCCCAAGCCCUGCAGCUUAGAUGCAGUGAUGCCUAGAAGGCACCUAGCACAGUGCUAGUAAUUGCUAUUGUUUAAAGAGGGCACAGAGAGGUUAAGUCAUUUGCCCAAGGCCACAGAGCAAGGAAACAGCCCAAGUCAAUGUGGCUCGGAGCCCCCAUGGCUCCCUGAUGCACAUGCUGUGCCACUGCCCCCUUGUUCCUGGUUUUGCUGGUCUUCAGGGGAGUGGCCCAGCCUGGUCUUUGAUGGAAGUAAAGGUGCUGUGGGGUGACUAGGUGGGAAGCAGUAGUUUCUGGCUCCUCCGGGCCUCAAAGUUCCCUUGUCACCCCUCACACUGAGCCCAGCUCUGGCUGUGGGGGAGCCCCGGAGUCCCCUUGUCACAGACCCUGUGACCGCAAUGUGGUCAUAUUUCUGAGAACCAUUCACCUCUUGCCCAACCAUUACCACCAGUGACAGUGCUCUUCCUUAGCAACCUCCUCUCCCCUUCUCGGCUACUUGGGCCCAAGCUGAGGGCACCUCCAGCUAAUAAGAGGGAAUAGGACCCUUUUAUUACUGCAGUGGCCACAGGUUGGGGGCCAAAGGUGUGCUGGGAGUGUAUGUGUGUCUGGGGGAGAGACCAGGGGGUUGUCUCUGGCUCUGAGUCCAGGCCCAUCCAUGGGUGCAGUCCAACCUAGGUCCCCUUGAUGAAUCAUGGAUCUGGAAGGGACCCCAACCAGCGGAGCUGACUCUGGCCUUGGCAACAAAUUUGGCUCUUCCAGACUCCCUUCUUCUGGGUUGUGGCUGCCUCUCCCCUCUGUGCCUCAAGCUCCUUUCUUUCUUUCUUUCUUUCUUUCUUUCUUUCUUUCUUUCUUUCUUUCUUUCUUUCUUUCUUUCUUUCUUUCUUCCUUCCUUCCUUCCUUCCUUCCUUCUUUCCUUCCUUCCUUCCUUCCUUUCUUUCUUUUUUGUCUUUUUAGGGCCGCACCAGCGGACAUGGAGGUUCCCAGGCCAGGGGUCGAAUCAGAGCUAUAGCUGUCGGCAUACACCAUAGCCACAGCAACACAGGAUCCAAGCCGCAUCUGCAACCUACACCACAGCUCAUGGCAAUGCUGGAUCCUCAACCCACUGAGCAAGGCCAGGGAUUGAAUCCUUGUCCUCAUGGAUGCUAUGCAGAUUCGUUUCCUCUGAGCCACGAUGGGAACUCCUUAGUCUCCUUUCUUUUUGUUUUUGUUUUUGCUUUUUUAGGGCUGCACCUGCAGCAUGUAAAGGUUCUCAGGCUCAGGGUCGAAUUGAAGCUACAGCUGCUGGCCUACACCACAGCCACAGCAACUUGGGAUCCCAGCCACGUCUGCAAUCUACACCAUACCUCACAGCAAUAUCAGAUCCUUAACCCACUGAGCGAGGCUAGGGAUGGAACCUGCAACUCAUGGUUCCUAGUUGGAUUCGUUUCUUUUUCGCCAUGACAAGAACUCCUCAGGCUCCUUUCUUGAUGGGAACCAGACCACACAGGAGUGUACGGUGCCAAAGCUGGAAGGGGCUGCAAGGAUGUUCUCCUGGGCAAAGACUCUAGUAUCUCCUGUAUCACACUUAUUAACAUCUUUGGGUACCAUCUGUAACAUUCAACUCAGUUUUUACAAACCUAAAAUUUAUUUAUUUAUUUUUAUGGCCGCACUCACAGCAUAUGGAAAUUCCUGGGCCAGGGAUUGAAUCCGAGCUGCAGCUGUCACCUAUGCUGCAGCUGUGGCAAUGCCAGAUCCUUUAACCCACUGCACCAAGCGGGGGGUCAAACCUUCACCUUUGCAGUGACCUGAACUGCUGAAGUCAGAUUCUUAACCCGUUGUGCCACAGCAGGAACUCCUAAAAUUUAUUUUAUACAAUUUUUUUUUUUUUGUCUUUUUGCCAUUUCUUGGAACGCUCUCGCGGCAUAUGGAGGUUCCCAGGCUAGGGGUCCAAUCGAAGCUGUAGCCGCCCUACGCCAGAGCCACAGCAACACGGGAUCUGAGCCGCGUCUGCAACCUACACCACAGCUCACGGCAACGCCGGAUCGUUAACCCACUGAGCAAGGGCAGGGACCGAACCCGCAACCUCAUGGUUCCUAGUCGGAUUCGUUAACCACUGUGCCACGACGGGAACUCCACAGCUCCCUUUUAAAAUAAAUUUUAGGGGAUUUCCAUCCCACAGCCCAAGCACAUCCCCCCCACCCCCAAAACUGUCCCCUCUGGAGACCAUAGUUUUUCAAUGUCUGUGAGUCAGCAUCUGUUCUGCAAAGAAGUUCAGUCUGUCCUUUUUUCAGAUUCCACAUGUCAGUGAAAGCAUUGGAUGUUGGUGUCUCAUUGUAUGGCUGACUUCACUUCGCACGAUAAUUUCUAGGUCCAUCCAUGUUGCUAAAAAUUCCGGUAUUUCAUUCUUUUUAAUGGCUGAAUAAUACUCCAUUACAUAUAUGUACCACAUCUUCUUGAUCCACUCCUCUGUCGAUGGACAUAUCGGUUGUUUCCAUGUCUUGGCUAUUGUAAAUAGUGCUGCAGUGAACAUUGGAGUACAUGUGUCUUUGCGAGUCGUGGUUUUCUCUGGAUAGAUGUCCAGGAGUGGGAUUGCUGGAUCAAAUGGUAGUUCUGUGUUUAGUUUUCUGAGGAAUCUCCAUACUGCUUUCCACAGUGGUUGCACCAAUUUACAAUCCCACCAACAGGGUACUAGGGUUCCUUUUUCUCCACACCCUCUCCAGCACUUCUUGUUUGUAGACUUUUGGAUGAUGGCCAUUCUGGCUGGUGUAAGGUGGUACCUCACAGUGGUUUUGAUUUGCAUUUCUCUAAUUCUGAGUGAUGUUGAACAUCUUUUCAUGUGUUUCUUGGCCAAUUGUAUGUCUUCUUUAGAGAACUGUCUAUUUAGAUCUUCUGCCCAUUUUUUGAUGGGGUUGUUCGUUUUUUUGGUACGGAGCUCUCUGACAUAAACAACAGCCACAUCUUCUCAGAUACACCUCUCAAAGUAUUGACAAUAAAAACAAAAAUAAAUAAAUGGGACCUAAUCAAACUCAAAAGUUUCUGCACGGCAAAGGAAACCCUAAACAAAACGAAAAGACAACCCACAGAAUGGGAGAAAAUCUUUGCAAGUGAAUUGACUGACAAGGGAUUAAUCUCCAAAAUUUAUAAACACCGUCAACAGAUACUUUCUGAAUGAGGGGCAGGGUCAGUGAAUAAAUAUGGGAAGAAAGGCAGGACCUGGAUGUGGAUGCUUAGAGAGGGUGCAAAGCCUUUGUUAAAACGAGGAAAAGCAAAUAUUCGACAUAUGAAAGCCAUACCAGCCCCAAAUGGAGGUUUUCUUCUUGAUGUGUCCACUGUGUUCAGGACAGGGUCCUCAAUAAGUGUGCCCACGUGACAGGACACAUGCGUGUGCGGACAGAUGUCAGCCCCCUCUGCCACUGUGGCCACUUCUCUUUUUUUUAUUCUUUAGGGGCGCAUCUGCGGCAUAUGCAACCAGCCUAGGGAUCGGAUUGGAGCCAUAGCCAUUGGCCUAUGCCAGAGCCACAGCAAUGCCAGAUGUGAGCCAUACCCUUGACCUAUGCCACAGCUAUGCCACAGCUUGCAGCAAUGCUGGACCCUUAACCCGCUGAGUAAGGCCAGGGGCCAAACCCACAACCUCUUGGAUACUAGCUGAGUUCUUAACCUGCUGAGCCACAACGGGAACUCCACGUGUGGCCGCUUCUGAGUCCACCUUGCUGAGGGCUGGCUGCCCAAGGGGACUCUCUCUUCACUGACCCUUCCCUUCUGUCCCUGCUGCGCUGGUCAGAGCCAUCUUGGAGGAGCAUGGAGUCACUGUCCUCGCCUGGCAGGAGCCUGUGGGGGUGGCCACCAGGCCGCUUCAGCAGAGGCCUGGCACAGGAAGCCUGACGUCACCCUGACUCACAGCUCAGGCGAGCUGGGGGUGGCUGUCACUCAUCACUCUCACCUUCAUACCUGCCCUGGCCUAAGGAUCAUAGUCACACCAUUCAUUUCUUCCUCUCUCCCCAGGGGCCUCUGCUGGGGGUGUGGGUUUGGAAGGAGGAGGAAGGAAAACACGACCAAGCACAGAGGUUUGCGCCUCUGUGGAAGCGAAGCCGCUUUGCAUGGGGUGGGGGGCUGGGUGGAUGUGCUGGCGGGGUAGGGAAAGACCCGGAAUCCCAAAGGCAGGAGGCCAGUGACACGUCAACAACUGUCAAAAUAGAUGGUUACAAACAAGAAUGACAGAAUCAUUAGUUCCAGUUCAGUAUUUUAAUUAAAAAAAAAAAAAAAAAAAAAA
rnacentral:lncRNA from 1 species